GCUGUUGUAGCUCAGUGGUAGAGCACGUCCUUGGUAAGGACGAGGUCGUGGGUUCAAGUCCCAUCAACAGCUCCA
rnacentral:tRNA from 1 species